rnacentral:rRNA from 1 species
AUUGAACGCUGGCGGAAUGCUUUACACAUGCAAGUCGAACGGCAGCACGGACUUCGGUCUGGUGGCGAGUGGCGAACGGGUGAGUAAUGUAUCGGAACGUGCCCAGUCGUGGGGGAUAACGUAGUGAAAAUUACGCUAAUAACGCAUACGAACUAUUGAUGAAAGCGGGGGAUCGCAAGACCUCGCGCGAUUGGAGCGGCCGAUAUCAGAUUAGGUAGUGGGUGGGGUAAAGGCCCACCAAGCCAACGAUCUGUAGCUGGUCUGAGAGGACGACCAGCCACACUGGAACUGAGACACGGUCCAGACUCCUACGGGAGGCAGCAGUGGGGAAUUUUGGACGAUGGGCGAAAGCCUGAUCCAGCCAUUCCGCGUGCAGGAUGAAGGCCCUCGGGUUGUAAACUGCUUUUGUACAGAACGAAAAGGUUUCUACUAAUACUAGGAGCUCAUGACGGUACUGUAAGAAUAAGCACCGGCUAACUACGUGCCAGCCGCCGCGGUAA